UGCUGUCAUGCCAACGCCAAAUAGGUUUCCACGACAGCACAAAGUACAUAUUAACCUGGCUACCAGUCUGUUUGUGCUGUCAUGCCAACGCCAAAUAGGUUUCCACGACAGCACAAAGUACAUAUUAACCUGGCUACCAGUCUGUUUGUGCUGUCAUGCCAACGCCAAAUAGGUUUCCACGACAGCACAAAGUACAUAUUAACCUGGCUACCAGUCUGUUUGUGCUGUCAUGCCAACGCCAAAUAGGUUUCCACGACAGCACAAAGUACAUAUUAACCUGGCUACCAGUCUGUUUGUGCUGUCAUGCCAACGCCAAAUAGGUUUCCACGACAGCACAAAACAGAUCUGUGACAACGCAAACUACUUGCUUGAGUCAUUUCCAAUAUCACUGUGUGAUCUUGUGAAAGCUAAUAUGCUCCAGAACUGUUUGGGUCCAAGACGAACAUCUGAUUGCUCUUUUACAAAUUCCAUUCUCAAAAAAAUGCUUCCUCUAGUCACGGUAGGAUACAAGAUGAUCAAAAUCCCCUCUGGUUCGACAAGUCAACACCAUUGGAAUCACACUGAGUGAUAACGGCCGAUGAGUCCCUUUCAACUGGAGAUUGAUUUCACAGCCAUCUAACGACCGUGCACACACAGGAGUCUGCAUAUGAGGUAUACAAGCAUCAUCCAUCCAAGUCCUCAAUAAAAACAAGAAAUGUUACUUUGGGAAAAACA